CCUAGCGCUGGCCAGAGCCCUCUCGGUCUUGUUGGGGGGUCACGUGGGGAGGGUGGGGCAGACAGGGCUUCUAGGUGUAGGACUGUCUUCUUACUAGAUCCUCGUUCCCUGAAUGCCAGAAUGGAAAGCCACCCGGAGAGGACACUCUCCGCAAUCCUCAGGCCUCCCCCAGCCCCAAGGUCUCCUGGCACAAGUGCUUCCUACUUAGUGCCUUUGAGAAGUCAUUUCACUUCAUGACACAGUUUGCUUAUCUACAAGUAGGGGCUAAAGAUGAGGAGGGCCUCCUCCUCCCGGGAAUGUUGUGAGGACUGUUAAGUUUAGCAGAUAAGAGGAGGUGACAUCAUUAAUUGAGUGCCCCAGUGUGCCAAGCCGUGUGCUGAGUAGGGUCCUUGGGAGGAGCACAGCCCUGUCCCUGGGGUGCUCAUACAGGGUGAUUCCGGCUACUGUAGGGGACAGACUGAAAGUGUUCUGGGGGUGGGGAGGUGACUGGCGACACCCAGGGCAAUUUGAUGGUUUGAGCUGGGUCCCGGGGACUCAUAGGGAACAUAGAACCUUCCAUAGAGUGUGGAAGGUUUCUAAGGUGGGUGUCUGAACUUGGAGGCUUAUAUUUGCCCUACAAAGGAUUUGUGGCAGGGAGAGGGGACACCAAAAUAUUUAAUGGAAAGAGCCCAGUGAGCACAAGUGCAGUUCAAGGACAACUAGAGGCAUGGAGGAGAGAUGGAAGUAGGACCCGGGUCCUGGGGUCGUCUGGGCAAGGGAAUUGAGGUCCCCUGAGCGGCUUGGCCAAAGUCAGGCAGUGAGAAAGGGGCGAGCCAUGACCUGUCCCCAGGCCUCAGAUUCCAAGCUGAUGCUUGGGUUUCUCCACCAUGUGGUCAACAAGGAAAGUGAGGCUCCCCAGGCUGGCCCUGAGUCACAUAUAGGAGUUAGUAGUGCCGCAGUGCAAGCCUGGACCUCAUUUUGAAUUCUGGACCCCAAGACCCUGUAUCUCUCCUGUACCAUCAUUAAGAGAUGCUACUACAGGUGGGAAAAAUGUGGCUUUGAGAAAGCGGGACCAUGUAGUAGGAGGAUGGGCAGGGGCGUUGGUGGGAGAUAUGGGUGUCUGCAGGGGACGUGGCCUCCUGGGUGGUGGGUUGGGAGGAAGGCAGCUGGGGGCUGGGAGAGGACCUGCCUCCACAGGGCCCUUGCUCCACACCCAGGCUGGUGCUCAGUGCUGGAGACCCGUCUCUGCCCCUCCUCCUUUCCUUAGAGCCAUGUGGCUUCUCGGGGAUCAGUUGUCCUCUGCCUGCCGCCCGUAGGUGGCUGUUGCAAUGUGGACUAGUGCUUAGUGGUGGAGAUUAAGAGAUUAAGUCGGGACCCAGGACAUCUGGAACCAAGUCACCAAGUACCCUGAACCCACGAUGUCUCAUUGAUGUGGAGUGGUCAGGAGCUCUGGGCAGUGUGCAGGGCACCUCUGACACAGAGACUUGGAAUGGGGCCCUGGGCCUGCGCCCCAGCAUGAGGACAUGUCCCCUAAGAAGACCUACCUCGGGAGGUGAAGGCAGAGGGUCCGAUGGAGCCUGGAAUUGGAGACAGACUUUGUGCCUUGGCGGAAAAUCUCCCCGGGAUUGCUGGGAGUUACAGCCAGAGAAGAGGUGGUCCUGGCUGCCCAGCCUCUCCUGUGGUAGCAGCGAUGGUGCGUGUGUGGGGAACCCACUUCUGUGCUCCCGCCUGGCCCACCAGAGACAGGAAGGCAGCUGCUGGGGAGGACGCAGUGAGUGGAAGCAGACACCCGGCUCCAGAGGCAAGACCAGCCCCCCAGGGAUGAACACGUCUGCAGGCUUCCCUCUCCUUUCAGGGCAGUGGUUUCUUCACACUUUUGGGCUCACGAAGCCCUCUGGCAAGAUGGCAAAGGUUACGAACCUUCUCCCCAGGAGGACGCACACACUCACGGGGACGCAGAAUCUACGAGGGAUUCCAGGAGCUCCGGGACUCCAGGCUGAGAUCCCCGGGCCCUGGGGCUAGCCUGCCGCUCCUUCCUGAGCUGACACAGAGUCCUGGGUCAGGAUCUUCGUUCAAGCCACAUUUCGUUUCCCCCAUUUCCAGGCCCAUCGACCUUCCUUCCCUUUUCAGGAAUAAAGAAUUCUGAGGAGGGGC